ACCAAACAGCUAGCUCAACCACAAAGACAGAAUUAAUAACAUAACCCACCAAUCAAAAAUUAAAAGCAACAAAUAAAACAUUCGACCACCCCAGUACGGGCGACAGAAAAGGAUAAGAUAAGCGAUAGACAAA
rnacentral:rRNA from 1 species